rnacentral:rRNA from 1 species
GUUGACCUCGGAUCAGGUAGGGAUACCCGCUGAACUUAAGCAUAUCAAUAAGCGGAGGAAAAGAAACCAACAGGGAUUGCUCUAGUAACGGCGAGUGAAGCAGCAAUAGCUCAAAUUUGAAAUCUGGCGUCUUCGGCGUCCGAGUUGUAAUUUGUAGAGGAUGCUUCUGAGUAACCACCGACCUAAGUUCCUUGGAACAGGACGUCAUAGAGGGUGAGAAUCCC